GGAUCUCUCUUAAAGGAGAGACGCUACGAUAUGAAGGUGGCUCACCCAGCGUGACGUUCAACCAUUGUACUAUGCUGACCCCAGCAGAUUCCCAAAUGCGGGAAUCUAAACUGCAUAAUUUCUGGUAGUGGGGGACUGCCAUGACGGCUGCCCCUG